UUUUCCCUAAACAAGAAAAAACAAAAGAAAAACGAAAUUGAAUGCAGAGCCUCAGUCUGAGGCCCUCAGACCACCAAACCGCACAACUUCAUUUCAGUCCAUCAAAUCAGUGAGAUCACAGUGACCUCGAUGACCGCCAUGGCCACCACCAUGGCCGCCACCACCACUCUCCUCCUUCUCCUGAUCCUAACCGCCGCCAUAACCACCGCCAGCUCAGCUCCGAUCCUCGGUCUCGACACCAUCCUCACCCACCAAUCCCGCCUUGACCGCCAUGCCACCAACGACUCCUUCCUCUCUCUCUCCUCCUCCCUCAAAAACUCCCUUUCCCAUUCUUCCCCUCACUCCCACGCCCCCCACUCCCUCAUCUCUUCCCUCCUCUCCCUCUCCCUCUCUCUCUCACUCCACGUCCGCCUCGUCGGCCCCUCCUUCCCCUCCAGCUCCAGCGCCCUCCUCUCCUCCUUCCUCUCCGCCGCCUCCCAACCCUCCAACCACUUCCACGUCAUCGCGCCCUACGAAUCCCUCUCCCACCGCAUCGCCGUCCAGCACUCUCUCCACCUGGGCGUCUCUCAUUCCCCCUCUCUCGCCUCCCUCCUCACUAAAACCCUAAGCUCCGAGCUCGCCAAAACCCCUUCCAGCCUCCGAUCGCCGCUCAUCUCAAUCCCCUACGACUCAAUCGACCAAAUCAUCAAGCAGGACUUCGAGAAGGAGAAGCCGGUUCAUGGGGUUUACUUAUAUUUUCUCGAUUUGGGUCAGCAAUCCAAACCCUAUGCUUACAAUUACGGAUCUGGGGACUCUUCCCCUGCAUUCACCAAGUGUUUGGGCAGCAUUUGGACCGGGAAAGACCGGUAUAUCUGGAUCGAUUUGGGCGCCGGACCUGUCGAUUAUGGCCCGGGGCUUUCAGGUGAUGGGGUUUUGCCCAGAGGCGAAUUUCAUCCGUUGGCGGCGUUGCACGGCCGCCCAAGGUCUCAAAAGGCGUUGCUUGCUAACUUGGCAUCCUUGGUUUGGAGUGCUUACCAGGUUCUUCUUGUUCCCUCUUUGAGAAUUCCUGUUCAGUUUGAGAAUUCAUUGAUUGUUCAGUUUAUACAUGUUUAUGGGUCCGAUGGUGGUAAGGACUCGAGUGGUUUGGAUUGGAAAUCGAUUGAGAGGACCUUUAUGGAUGAGGCAAAUAGUAAUGGUUUGUUGUUAGGGGGUCAGAGUUUGAGUUUCAGGACUAAUAGGGUGAGUUACUCAGAUUGCCCGAUUUGUUCAUUUGCGAUUUCGAGGUCUAUUAACUCGUAUACAUCGAGGUUCUUGUUUGAUAACUAUACUUUGAUUGCAAGUGAGUAUUUGGACUCGAAGCGGUUGCAUCAAAUAUUGUCUGAUUCGGCUGACGAGUUUAGGAGAGUGGCAGGGUUCGCUGAGGAGGAUUUUGGUCGGGUUCUUCCUGUGUGUUUGAUUUGGACUACAACAUGCUGUUGUUGCUCGAUAGGUAUCACCAAUCGGUUGCUUUCAAAGACAUGGUUAUUGCAGUGAGGACAAAGAGCACGCAGACUGUGAGUGAUUAUAGCUGUAACGGGCAUCAUGUGUUUACGCAAACAAGAGAGCUUGAGAGACCGCUUGUUGGUUCAAUUCUGCAGAGCAUGUGGGGAGUGUCACCAACCCAUAUGCUCUGGAGCCCUAGGCACAAUACUACAUUGGUGGAUUACACAUGGAGUAUCGGCCAGACUCCAUUUGGGCCAUUCUCUGAGAUUUCAUCCUUAUCAUUUGUGCAGAAGGAUGCUGCUCGGAGAAAUGUUCUUUUGACAACAAUGAAUUACAGCAUAUCAACUGCUGUAGAUGUUCUCGAAUCCUUAGUUGCACAUGGUGGGGAAAGAAAGCUCCUCAAGCGUAGUCAACACGUUGAGUUCAUACAGAGGUGGAACUUGUUCAAGUAUAAGCUGGACAAAUCAGUCUCUGCAAUGUCACUUUUGGAUUUCGAGAUGGCUUUGUUUUAUUUGCAGGCCUCAGACCACGACCUAUACGCCAUGCAGUCUCUCGUCUAUCAAGCCACCCAAGACGUGGAGGCGUCCCUUGUAUGUUUCAAGGACCCACCCGUUCCAUGGAACGGGAUCUUUAUGGUGGCAUUUGUUAUCGUUUUUGCCUUUUAUCUUCAUUCUAAACGAGAUAAAGUCUUUCGAAAUAAAAGUAAGCAAUUUUGAAGCUUAGAGGAAGUGAAGUUUGUAUCGUUCGAAUUCAAUACUACACUGUAUUUCUGUAAGAAACAUGAUUCGUAUGUCAGGCCCUAGUCUUCAGUUUUGCUCAUAA